CCUUGAGUCAUGUGGCGCGCACCUUCGCCACACAUUGCCAUAUGAUACGCUGAGUACUAACAACUUCCUGUACACAUGAUUGCGAGACGCCAAACAGCACACCCGACUGUGCCACGGAUCAAAGAAGGAGAAGGAUGAGUAAGUCGUGCCAUUGUCGGCCGUCUUCCCGAGUGUUGGCUGUAACGCGAGACGCCGGCUCCACAGUCAGUCGCCAUUGCCGGGAACUCUGUCCCCCGGGGUCCUGCAAUGUCAGCAGCAGCUGUUGUGACAAUACACCCCGUUUUACACCUUGGCGCACUUUUUUUUUUUUUUUUUGCCAGGGUGUAAUAAAUAAGUGAAUUAUUCAAAAA